UACGUAGGUGGCGAGCGUUGUCCGGAUUUACUGGGCGUAAAGAGCGCGCCGGCGGUCGUGCAAGUCGCGUGUGAAAGCCCCCGGCUCAACUGGGGAGGGUCACGCGAUACUGCUCGACUUGAAGGCAGGAGAGGGAAGUGGAAUUCCCGGUGUAGUGGUGAAAUGCGUAGAUAUCGGGAGGAACACCAGUGGCGAAGGCGACUUCCUGGCCUGUUCUUGACGCUGAGGCGCGAAAGCGUGGGGAGCAAACAGG
rnacentral:rRNA from 1 species